rnacentral:rRNA from 1 species
UACGGAGGGAGCUAGCGUUGUUCGGAAUUACUGGGCGUAAAGCGCGCGUAGGCGGCUUUGUAAGUUAGAGGUGAAAGCCCGGAGCUCAACUCCGGAACUGCCUUUAAGACUGCAUCGCUUGAAUCCAGGAGAGGUGAGUGGAAUUCCGAGUGUAUAGGUGAAAUUCGUAGAUAUUCGGAAGAACACCAGUGGCGAAGGCGGCUCACUGGACUGGUAUUGACGCUGAGGUGCGAAAGCGUGGGGAGCAAACAGG